GCCCUACGGGAGGCAGCAGUGAGGAAUAUUGGUCAAUGGGCGGAAGCCUGAGCCAGCCAAGUCGCGUGAGGGAUUAAGGCCCUGCGGGUCGUAAACCUCUUUUGCCGGGGAGCAGAGGUCCGGACGUGUCCGGGCCGGGAGAGUACCCGGAGAAAAAGCAUCGGCUAACUCCGUGCCAGCAGCCGCGGUAAUACGGAGGAUCCGAGCGCUAUCCGGAUUUAUUGGGUUUAAAGGGAGCGUAGGUGGAUUGUUAAGUCAGUUGUGAAAGUUUGCGGCUCAACCGUAAAAUUGCAGUUGAAACUGGG
rnacentral:rRNA from 1 species